rfam:Musa acuminata subsp. malaccensis Doubled-haploid Pahang (DH-Pahang) genomic chromosome, chr4
GUACCAUUGGGAUGAAUCGGUGGUCCCUGACAUGAAAUUAUCAUCAUCUUCACUUUGUCAGCUAAUCUAGUUUUUUCCUUUAGCUGAUCAUUAAUGAUGAAAUAUUU